GGAAUAUUGGGCAAUGGAGGAAACUCUGACCCAGCGACGCCGCGUGCGGGAUGAAGGCCUUCGGGUUGUAAACCGCUUUCAGUAGGGAAGAAGCGAAAGUGACGGUACCUACAAAAGAAGCACCGGCUAACUAUGUGCCAGCAGCCGCGGUAAUACAUAGGGUGCAAGCGUUGUCCGGAAUUAUUGGGCGUAAAGAGCUCGUAGGUCGUUUGUUACGUCGGAUGUGAAAACCUGAGGCUCAACCUCAGGCCUGCAUUCGAUACGGGCAAACUAGAGUUUGGUAGGGGAGACUGGAAUUCCUGGUGUAGCGGUGGAAUGCGCAGAUAUCAGGAGGAACACCAAUGGCGAAGGCAGGUCUCUGGGCCAAUACUGACACUGAGGAGCGAAAGUCUGGGGAGCGAACAGGAUUAGAUACCCUGGUAGUCCAGACCGUAAACGGUGGGCACUAGUUGUGGGAACCUUCCACGGUUUCUGCGACGCAGCUAACGCAUUAAGUGCCCCGCCUGGGGAGUACGAUCGCAAGAUUAAAACUCGAAUGAAUUGACGG
rnacentral:rRNA from 1 species